AUGACAGCCUGUACAAUCCACUUUUUGGCUCCAUGAUUUUUUUGGACCACAUCAAAUAACUUCCAAAUCUAGAUCUCUCUAUACAGCACUAUUUUCUAAAUAAAAAAAUAACUCAACAACAAAAACAUAAAAAUAACUCCAUCAAAAAAAAAAAAAGCAAACCAUACACACAGAUCUACCAACAUGGACAGAUCUGAGGGUUUAUUCACUUGAAAUCUAUCAACAAACCAUACACACAAAUCUGAAAGUUAUUAGGAAAAAAAAAAAAACCUCUUGCACAGGAAGGGGAGGGAUUGGUUAAUUUAAGCAGAUUUUCUAAUUUCAGCAUGCUUUGAGGGCCUCCUAGAAAAUAGAAUAUUUUUGUUGCGCCUGAAAAGCAUGAAGAACUUAUAGGUUGAACAAAUCACUUCGAGAAAGAGACCAAAGUGUUGGAAAAGGAACAAAAGGAUUGGAAAAACAGCAAUUCCAGCAAAUAGGAAAAGCGAAUCGGGACAAUCCAUGUUCGAAGAUAAUGAAAAAUGUUGCAACAAAGGCUACCAUCAUAGUUAAUAUUGCUAUGAAAAGGAAAAAGAGUCCGAAGGUCAAUUUUGCAGGCAAUGAAAUGCGAAAAUCAUCUAUUGAGUACCGAGAAGCAAGAAUGGAUAGGAAAGAAAAUAUCGAAGAAGCUGAGGAUAUUAACGAUAUUGCAUCUGAUAUGGCAAAAAUUUUGAACCAAUUCUGGUUGACUAAAAUAGGAAUGCCAUUAACCUGUCCAUUGCCACCCGGUACAGUAAAAGCUGCUGCGAAAACCACAGUGGCAAUGAGUGUAGCAACAACCAUGCAUGAAUGUGCAGUAUUUCUCAUCCAUUCUUCUCCAUCUUUCCUCAUUUCCAUGUGUUGCUCUAUGAAUAUGUCUCCUGGACUCUCCUCCUUUUUAUUCUUUUCUUCUGUUUGAUGUGGAAGAACAGCUUCCCUCACUUCCACAAAGAACAAUAGAUCAUGCUGCAGUUGAAGAGCUGCUCCUGGUACAAUAUUUUGUCGACUUGAUACAGCCAACUUUCCAGCCAAAUGUAACAUGUUAUUUCCUUCCGCAUCCUUUCUUAUGUUUAUGAAGUACUUAAAUGAACCUAUCCCAUGUAUCAGCUUGAAGACUUCCAUUUUUCGAUGCAAAAUAGCUAUAUGAAAUAUGGUAUAACCCUUUUCAUUCACUGUGACUGCUAAAGUGGGAUAUGCACUUAUAAGAGUAGCCAGGAGCUCGUCAUUUCCUUGUUUCGCUGCGAUAAAUGCUAAUCGAGCAGAAUCUCCCAUUAUCAAUUCAGAAAUUUGUUGAUAGUCCAACUUUUGUAUUUUCUCCAAAAUAAAUUUAUGUAGCUCACUCGCUUCUUUGCCCAUUUUAUUUUUUCCUCCCGAAAAUAUGUUCAAAUAGAGCUUCAUCAAUGGAGAACUUGGAAUUGCAGGUUUAUGAUUACGAGGCUUUCGAGCAAACGCAUGUAAUGCUGUCUCAUUUUUCCCGUCUUUUCCAGUGGCCAGCUCUGGUUUAUCUUUUACUAAGCUCGUCGCGAUAUCAUAUAUAUCAGAAUCGAUCAAAGCCACAAGUAAAGCAAUGAGAUCUUCAUUUUGCUUUUUCUGCAGCUGACUUUUAGUUUCGUUAUAAAGAAAGCGCACCAUCUCCCCAUGGCCAUGCAAAGCUGCAAUAUUAAUUAGUAAGACACUUUGUCCGCCAGGGGUCAUCGCCAAAUUGCCGCUCUUUCUUUUUGACCUGCCCAAAUUACUGCUCUUAUUCAGCAUUAUUUGGGCAAUUUUCACAUUUCCCGAUGCAGCAGCGUAGAAAAAUGCUGUAUAUCCUGCACAAGUUUUUGUAUAUAGACUUUUUGUAUACUUAUCAACCAGCUGUUCAACAAAAUGAGCAUGGUUUGCUAAAGUCGCAAUAUGCAGAGCAGUCUCUCCAUGCCUAUUGAUGUAGGCCUGAGCUUCUUCGGGAAAUUUCUCAAGCGUUGGUUUAGCUGUCUCCCAUUCUCCACUCAUUGCAGCUUUAUACAGCUUCAAUUUUCUUUCUCGUUGUUCUUUUUUUCCCCUUCUUCAAGGUCAAAAACGAAGUUGUGCAGGUUUUCAAGGCCGGUCAUGACAAUUCGGGUUUCCUCUUCUUCACUUUUGCUCAUGUUUCCCAAAACUGAUUCAAUUUCUCACUGUAAACUCUCAUUUUCUAUCCAAAAUUUGUUGAUUCUCCAUGCAAAUGAAGU
rnacentral:misc_RNA from 1 species